rnacentral:rRNA from 1 species
UACGUAGGGUGCAAGCGUUGUCCGGAAUUAUUGGGCGUAAAGAGCUCGUAGGCGGUCUGUCGCGUCUGGUGUGAAAAUCCAGGGCUUAACCCUGGACCUGCAUCUGGUACGGGCAGACUAGAGUGCGGUAGGGGAGAUCGGAAUUCCUGGUGUAGCGGUGAAAUGCGCAGAUAUCAGGAGGAACACCGAUGGCGAAGGCAGAUCUCUGGGCCGUAACUGACGCUGAGGAGCGAAAGCAUGGGGAGCGAACAGG